rnacentral:tRNA from 1 species
GAAUGGAUGUCUGAGAGGUUGAAAGGUUUGGUCUAGAAAAUCGAAGUAUUGAUAGGAAUACUGGGGGUUUGAAUCCCUCUCCAUCUG